GACGAACGCUGGCGGCGCGCCUAACACAUGCAAGUCGAACGAGUGAGAGAGAGCUUGCUUUCUCGAGCGAGUGGCGAACGGGUGAGUAACGCGUGAGGAACCUGCCUCAAAGAGGGGGACAACAGUUGGAAACGACUGCUAAUACCGCAUAAGCCCACGGCUCGGCAUCGAGCAGGGGGAAAAGGAGCAAUCCGCUUUGAGAUGGCCUCGCGUCCGAUUAGCUAGUUGGUGGGGUAACGGCCCACCAAGGCGACGAUCGGUAGCCGGACUGAGAGGUUGAACGGCCACAUUGGGACUGAGACACGGCCCAGACUCCUACGGGAGGCAGCAGUGGGGAAUAUUGCACAAUGGGGGAAACCCUGAUGCAGCGACGCCGCGUGGAGGAAGAAGGUCUUCGGAUUGUAAACUCCUGUUGUUGGGGAAGAUAAUGACGGUACCCAACAAGGAAGUGACGGCUAACUACGUG
rnacentral:rRNA from 1 species